rnacentral:rRNA from 1 species
UUAAUAAUAUUCUUAUUAAAAAUAUAAUUAUUUUCAUAUUUGGUCCUUUCGUACUAAAAUAUAAUAAUUUUUUAAAGAUAGAAACCAACCUGGCUUACGCCGGUUUGAACUCAGAUCAUGUAAGAAUUUAAAAGUCGAACAGACUUAAAAUUUGAACGGCUACACCCAAAAUUAUAUCUUAAUCCAACAUCGAGGUCGCAAUCUUUUUUAUCGAUAUGAACUCUCCAAAAAAAUUACGCUGUUAUCCCUAAAGUAACUUAAAUUUUUAAUCAUUAUUAAUGGAUCAAUUAUUCAUAAAUUAAUGGUUUUAAAAAUUAAAAGUUUUUUAAAUUUUAAUAUCACCCCAAUAAAAUAUUUUAAUUUAUUAUAAUAAAAAUAAUCUUUAUAAUUAAAAUAAACAAAAUAUAAAGAUUUAUAGGGUCUUCUCGUCUUUUAAAUUUAUUUUAGCUUUUUGACUAAAAAAUAAAAUUCUAUAAAAAAUUUAAAUGAACC